ensembl:miRNA
CCUACUGCUAACAAAUGCUCUGACUUUAUUGCACUACUGUACUUUACAGCUAGCAGUGCAAUAGUAUUGUCAAAGCAUCUGAGAGCAGCAAGCACACCUGCA